GCUACCAAGGAUGAAGUGGUUAUUCAUACAAUUAGAUUACCAAAACAGAGCACUGUAGCAGAUGUAAUUAAUGAUCUUAAAACAAAGGUGGAGUUAUCUCAUCCUAAUACGGAACUCAGGUUGCUUGAAGUUUUCUAUCACAAGAUUUACAAGAUUUUUCCACCCAAUGAGAAGAUUGAGAACAUAAAUGAUCAAUAUUGGACUUUAAGGGCAGAAGAGAUCCCAGAAGAAGAGAAGAAUCUUGGUCCCAAUGAUCGCCUCAUUCAUGUAUACCAUUUUACAAAAGAGACAGCUC
rnacentral:misc_RNA from 1 species